UACAGAGGGGGCAAGCGUUAUUCGGAAUUAUUGGGCGUAAAGGGCGCGUAGGCGGCGAUUCAAGUGACGGGUGAAAUCCCUCGGCUUAACCGAGGAACUGCCUGUCAGACUGGGUUGCUUGAGACCGGGAGAGGCGAGUGGAAUUCCCAGUGUAGCGGUGAAAUGCGUAGAUAUUGGGAGGAACACCCAAGGGGAAGCCAGCUGGCUGGGCAUUUGCUGACGCUCAUGUGCGACAGCGUGGGGAGCGAACUGG
rnacentral:rRNA from 1 species